UUUAUCAGUAGGCUGGUGACACCCUGUGAGGAAGUCUCUCUCAGUCAGGACACAGCAUGGACAUGAAGGUGUCCGCUCAGCUCCUGGGGCUCCUGCUGCUCUGGCUCCCAGAUACCAGAUGUGACAUCCAGAUGACCCAGUCUCCAUCCUCUCUGUCUGCAUCUGUGGGAGACAGAGUCACCAUCACUUGUCAUGCGAGUCAGAGCAUUAGCAACUGGUUAGCCUGGUAUCAGCAGAAACCAGGGAAAGUUCCUAAGCUCCUGAUCUAUAAGGCAUCCACUUUGCAAUCUGGGGUCCCAUCUCGGUUCAGCGGCAGUGGAUCCGGGACAGAUUUUACUCUCACCAUCAGCAGCCUGCAGCCUGAAGAUGUUGCAACUUAUUACUGUCAGAAGUAUAACAGUGCUCCUCCCACUGUGAUACAAACCCAAACAUAA